rnacentral:rRNA from 1 species
AUUGCAUGAUGUUGAUUUGAAAGGGGCAAUUGCUCCACUACCAGAUGGACCUGCGUCGUAUUAGCUAGUUGGUGAGGUAACGGCUCACCAAGGCGACGAUACAUAGCCGACCUGAGAGGGUGAUCGGCCACACUGGGACUGAGACACGGCCCAGACUCCUACGGAAGGCAGCAGUAGGGAAUCUUCGGCAAUGGACGGAAGUCUGACCGAGCAACGCCGCGUGAGUGAAGAAGGUUUUCGGAUCGUAAAGCUCUGUUGUAAGAGAAGAACGAGUGUGAGAGUGGAAAGUUCACACUGUGACGGUAACUUACCAGAAAGGGACGGCUAACUACGUGCCAGCAGCCGCGGUAAUACGUAGGUCCCGAGCGUUAUCCGGAUUUAUUGGGCGUAAAGCGAGCGCAGGCGGUUAGAUAAGUCUGAAGUUAAAGGCUGUGGCUUAACCAUAGUACGCUUUGGAAACUGUUUAACUUGAGUGCAGAAGGGGAGAGUGGAAUUCCAUGUGUAGCGGUGAAAUGCGUAGAUAUAUGGAGGAACACCGGUGGCGAAAGCGGCUCUCUGGUCUGUAACUGACGCUGAGGCUCGAAAGCGUGGGGAGCAAACAGGAUUAGAUACCCUGGUAGUCCACGCCGUA